GUUUCAGUGUCUUGGACCGCCGGGAGGGACUUUUUGAGCCUACUGGCAGAAGAAACCACUCUCUUCGCACUUGGAAUGGGUGAAGAAGUGAUUUGUUUGAUUGGUGAACUUCAGAGAAGAAAAUUGUUCUGGUGGCUCAGCUCCUUCUGGAUUCCCUCUUCCCGGAUCUGCCUCCCACAGAGAGUAUUCACUCUGGUCUUCCCUAUGGCGUGCAGCAACAAACCUGGACUCUUAAAAAAAUACAUAAAUAGCUCAUAUUAUUUGCAAUGAAAUUUGCCCUUAUUUAUUUAACAAAUAUUUUCAAGUACUCAUUAUGUAUCAUACAUCGUUCCAAGCUUGAGAGAUAGUACAGAGAUUGUAUUCUACCUUCAUGAAUACAUUCUAACUGCAAGUGAUUGACUGAAUUAUUGGACCCAGUACUUCAGCAUUUCUUAUUUCUACCUAAUUUUCCUUCCUUUAUUUAGAAAAAGAAACAGUAAUGAAUAUGUUGCAUACCAUCAUUUCUUAGUUCCUCUGACUACAGCCCUCCGUUUGUACUCUUCCCUUGGUCUAUGUCAGUGUUAAUAAAAGAGCUGGUCUCAAACUUCAUUGUGAAACCAAUUAACCUAAUUGUCUUGUUAAAACACAAUUAAUGGAACCUAUACCUAGAAUAUUUGAUUCAAUAGAUCUGGAGUGGAAUGCAAGAAUUUGCAUUUUUAACAAGUUUCCAGGUGACACUAAUGCUGCUGAUCAUGGAACACACGUUGAGAGCCGCUGUGUUAGAGGCAAGUCUACAGGUGCUCCUAGGAAUUUAAGGCGAAGUUGAAGCUUAUGAAAGAAAGACUUAGACUGCUGUCAGAGCUGGCCCUACUCCUCCAGACUGUCUCCUAUUGGAGCACUUUUCUAAAAAUACCUUGAUAACUCAUGGUUUUUAUUUUCCUAAAAGGAGGUUAGUUCUUUAAAUGUUUACUACCUACAAAGGUCAUUAUUGCUGACUCCAAUGUUUUUUUUUUUUGGAUUUUUC
rnacentral:lncRNA from 10 species